GACGAACGCUGGCGGCGUGCUUAACACAUGCAAGUCGAACGGAAAGGCCCUGCUUUUGUGGGUGCUCGAGUGGCGAACGGGUGAGUAACACGUGAGUAACCUGCCCUUGACUUUGGGAUAACUUCAGGAAACUGGGGCUAAUACCGGAUAGGAGCUCCUGCUGCAUGGUGGGGGUUGGAAAGUUUCGGCGGUUGGGGAUGGACUCGCGGCUUAUCAGCUUGUUGGUGGGGUAGUGGCUUACCAAGGCUUUGACGGGUAGCCGGCCUGAGAGGGUGACCGGCCACAUUGGGACUGAGAUACGGCCCAGACUCCUACGGGAGGCAGCAGUGGGGAAUAUUGCACAAUGGGCGGAAGCCUGAUGCAGCAACGCCGCGUGCGGGAUGACGGCCUUCGGGUUGUAAACCGCUUUCGCCUGUGACGAAGCGUGAGAGACGGUAAUGGGUAAAGAAGCACCGGCUAACUACGUG
rnacentral:rRNA from 1 species